rnacentral:rRNA from 1 species
CGCUUAGGCGUGUGACUGCGUACCUUUUGUAUAAUGGGUCAGCGACUUAUAUUCUGUAGCAAGGUUAACCGAAUAGGGGAGCCGAAGGGAAACCGAGUCUUAACUGGGCGUUAAGUUGCAGGGUAUAGACCCGAAACCCGGUGAUCUAGCCAUGGGCAGGUUGAAGGUUGGGUAACACUAACUGGAGGACCGAACCGACUAAUGUUGAAAAAUUAGCGGAUGACUUGUGGCUGGGGGUGAAAGGCCAAUCAAACCGGGAGAUAGCUGGUUCUCCCCGAAAGCUAUUUAGGUAGCGCCUCGUGAAUUCAUCUCCGGGGGUAGAGCACUGUUUCGGCAAGGGGGUCAUCCCGACUUACCAACCCGAUGCAAACUGCGAAUACCGGAGAAUGUUAUCACGGGAGACACACGGCGGGUGCUAACGUCCGUCGUGAAGAGGGAAACAACCCAGACCGCCAGCUAAGGUCCCAAAGUCAUGGUUAAGUGGGAAACGAUGUGGGAAGGCCCAGACAGCCAGGAUGUUGGCUUAGAAGCAGCCAUCAUUUAAAGAAAGCGUAAUAGCUCACUGGUCGAGUCGGCCUGCGCGGAAGAUGUAACGGGGCUAAACCAUGCACCGAAGCUGCGGCAGCGACGCUUAUGCGUUGUUGGGUAGGGGAGCGUUCUGUAAGCCUGUGAAGGUGUGCUGUGAGGCAUGCUGGAGGUAUCAGAAGUGCGAAUGCUGACAUAAGUAACGAUAAAGCGGGUGAAAAGCCCGCUCGCCGGAAGACCAAGGGUUCCUGUCCAACGUUAAUCGGGGCAGGGUGAGUCGACCCCUAAGGCGAGGCCGAAAGGCGUAGUCGAUGGGAAACAGGUUAAUAUUCCUGUACUUGGUGUUACUGCGAAGGGGGGACGGAGAAGGCUAUGUUGGCCGGGCGACGGUU